GAUGAACGCUGGCGGCGUGCCUAAUACAUGCAAGUCGAGCGAACAGACGAGGAGCUUGCUCCUCUGACGUUAGCGGCGGACGGGUGAGUAACACGUGGAUAACCUACCUAUAAGACUGGGAUAACUUCGGGAAACCGGAGCUAAUACCGGAUAACAUGUUGAACCGCAUGGUUCAACAGUGAAAGACGGUUUUGCUGUCACUUAUAGAUGGAUCCGCGUCGCAUUAGCUAGUUGGUAAGGUAACGGCUUACCAAGGCAACGAUGCGUAGCCGACCUGAGAGGGUGAUCGGCCACACUGGAACUGAGACACGGUCCAGACUCCUACGGGAGGCAGCAGUAGGGAAUCUUCCGCAAUGGGCGAAAGCCUGACGGAGCAACGCCGCGUGAGUGAAGAAGGUCUUCGGAUCGUAAAACUCUGCUAUUAGGGAAGAACAAAUGUGUAAGUAACUAUGCACGUCUUGACGGUACCUAAUCAGAAAGCCACGGCUAACUACGUG
rnacentral:rRNA from 1 species